GUAGUGCUCUUCUGUCCUCGUCCUCUGGCUUCUAUGUCGGUGACUACUGUCGAAAUGCUCGAGACAACUGCUGCCCCACAGAAGAAAGUAAGCUUCCCACCAGUGUGUCAAAGGACAGACGUCAGCGGCCACUGACUCUGACAUGGAUGGCAAGGUCUCUUAUUCAUCAUUCAGUGCCUACCCAGGAUGAGACAAGAGGGCGCCUCCCCCAAAGACACCAAAUUCUGAGGAUGCUCAAGUCCCUUGUAGGAGUGGCGCAGUAUUUAUAUAUCAUCUGUACAUAUCCUCCCUCAUACUGGAAAAGUCAUCUGUGGAUUAAUAAUACCUCCUACACUUUGGAGGAAAACAUUAUGGACUAUGAAGUGCAGAGUUAUUACAGACACGGGUGAGUUAGCAUGCCAUUGGAGCCCAUUCAUAACGCUAUUUAAUUGGAUUCCAAAGUAAUCAAAAAAUAAAAAAAGAACUACCUCAUCACUAGGCGCUUGAACUGUUGCUCUGUAGCUCACUGGCUUGAUUGGACAGAACCCAAGCUGUCUGUGAAUGGCACGGAGUCUCAGACUUUCCCAGCCAGCACAGCAUCCUGAGGAGAGGCCAUGGGAGCCAGCCUUGUCCCACAGGAGGAACAGAAGACCCUAUGUGCUCAGGCCAGCUGUUGCCUUCCCCUGGCGUUUCUUCAGACCCAGGACACUGCGCAGCAGAACUGACCGACCUCAUGAACUUGGCCUACGUUUUUGCCAAAAGAAAUGGUCUUUCUUACAGCGCUUUAUUCUGACAGCAUUUAAGACCUCAGAAAAUCGGAAAGACUUUCCAUGUCGACACUGAUCCUUCUGUGGUGGUGUCUGCACACACACUCGGGGAUGUUUUCUGUGCUGCUGGGAAGCAAGCUAGAAAUUUCUGAAUGUAUUUCAUUACAGGGGCAGUGGAUUAUAUAACCACGGUCAGAUUAUCAAAAUUAGGAAAUAAGCAUCGAUUCUACCCUGAUCUAAUGUACAGACUUUGCUCGGGUUUCACAAAAUUGUACCAAGGGAGGAAAAUCCCAGCUCGUGUGUUGCAUUCAGUUGCUGCAUCCUACAUCCUCUCCUCCUCCUCCCUUCUCCUCCUCUCCUCAGGGAUGGCCUCUAGUCCUUCCUUUUGUCUUGUGGCUAGGAUGCUAUUCUUGUUGGCUUUUGCUUCCAUUGUGCAAAGCACUAGGUUUCACAUAAACACAUAGUGUACUCAGACGUACUCCCCCCUUUUCCCUUCCCCCUCCCCCCAUUUAUUCCCUUUGUUCCGUCAGAACGUUCCACUCCUACUUUCACGUCUUAUAAUUAUACCUCAUUUUCUGUGUCUGUAUGAAACUUAGGAGUGGCAUCAUCUGUGAGGAGACAUAUGCAUCUGUCUUUCUGAGACUAGCUUGAUUCCUUCAUUAUGAUUAUCUCCCAUUGCAUCCACUUUCUUCCAAACAACAUAACUUCAUCUUUUAUGUAGCUGGAAACUGUCCAUACAUUUGUGUGUGUGUGUGUGUAGAUGUGUGUAUAGAUAGAUGAUACAUAGACAGAUAGACAGAUAAUUACAUUUUCUUUAUGCCUCCCUUUGUUUUUAGAUACCAGCUUGUUUUUAUGCCUUAGCUAUUAUAAACACUGCUAGAAUAAAGGCAGUGAUAUUUUUGACAAUUACAAUCCAAUUAUUGUAUUACAUGCCCUUCAGUUUGGCUUUGUCUGGUCUUUCUGCAUUCUGAACCGCCGUUUUGCAUUUUUUGUUGUUGUUGUUGUUGAGAAUGUUGAGAAAAUGAGACAGCAUCCUUGUCCCAGGCCUCACGGUUUCAGGUUGUCAUUUUUCCAGCAGUGGCAACUUGAAUCACUUGGUCAAAAAUGCGGAUGCAGGGUUUCCCACUGCAGAGAGUGUUUAUUUCUUCAGAUAGAAAACAGAACAUCCAAAUAUCAUAAUCUCCCUUCAGAAGUUAAUCCUCUUCAGUAGCCUUGUAGUUUAAGGAAAUUCAAUAGGAAACAUAAGCAACCAAAGAAAGUGGAGGACUUGGGGUUUAAAGGGUAGACUGACCCUCAUAAAUAUAUAAAAACUCUAGCUGGUGCCAGCAACUCCAUACACAUAGAUGGUUUUGUGUGUACUUUCUUCUCUCUUCCCUGAUUCCAAAGCAACUGAAACCUUGAAAGGUCUACCU